rnacentral:tRNA from 3 species
GGGUCUGUAGCUCAGCUGGUUAGAGCAUCGUCUUGAUAAGGCGGGGGUCGUUGGUUCGAGUCCAACCAGACCCACCA